rnacentral:lncRNA from 13 species
CAAACUUAGAGGCUGUUGAAAGCAAAAAUGCGCCUUACAUAUUUUUUCCCCAGGAUGGAUCCUCCUCUAUUUCUCAUUGAGAAAACCACGUUAAACUGAUUUCCUGUAGGUAAUAUUAAAUAGUAGGAUCCCUUUAGGAUCACAUGAAAUAAACAUAAUUCUCACAUUUGAAACUGCUAUAAGACAAUAUCAAAGAAUUUUCAGCCAUUUGGCCCUAUAUGAUAUGUAUGAUGAUGGACAGCCCUCCUCCUCUCCCUGUCCACUCCCUACGUGAACAUGCAGUUUUAAUGUCAGUCUGCUUGCUGAAAGGAUUCUAUGAUUAAUAACUCAUCUUCUGUCUUCAUUCAUUUUAAUUCCCUGCCCCUCUGGAAAUGUUACACAUUCCUUUACAGAAGAGCAGCCAGUCUCUGACUUUUCACCUGUACUGGAGUUAGCAAUGUUGAGCUUCUCCCUACAAAAAUGGCAUCCAGAAAACUGCCACAUACUUUCCUAAUGACUUCGGGAGUUUACAUAAUUCUAGGAUUUGAACUACAGAGGAGACACAAUGCACCAAACACAAUUCCUGAUGUUCUGGCAGGCAAGCAGCAACUGGGACCCAUACAACCCUACAGCACUUCCUCAUGGACCUCACUGCGGAACAUCUGCUGAAACGUGACAUGGUUCGUGUUGAAGACUUUGGUGCAUGUACUUAAGGGGCUUUCAGGCUUCCCCCUGAGGUCUCCUUCACUUCAAGCAUGAGUAAAUUGGG